rnacentral:lncRNA from 1 species
GUGGGGUGGGGGGAGGGGGGAGGGAUAGCAUUGGGAGAUACACCUAAUGCUAGAUGACGAGUUAGUGGGUGCAGCGCACCAGCAUGGCACAUGUAUACAUAUGUAACUAACCUGCACAAUGUGCACAUGUACCCUAAAACUUAAAGUAUAAUAAAAAAAAAUUUUUUUAAAAAAAAGAAAGAAAGAAAAAAAAAAAAAAAAGGGGGGG